CUGCAUGAGGGAAACUGUUAUUCUUCUUCCAAGGAGAAUGGGUAUUCCUUCAAUGCUAUAACAUGAGGAGCUUUCAGGGCUGCCUGCCUUGAAGCACGGGCUGGGCAGUAGUAUGUUUCUCCAACAUGA